GAUGAACGCUGGCGGCGUGCCUAAUACAUGCAAGUCGAGCGAACAGAUGAUGAGCUUGCUCCUCUGACGUUAGCGGCGGACGGGUGAGUAACACGUGGAUAACCUACCUAUAAUACUUGGAUAACUUCGGGAAACCGGCGCUAAUACCGGAUAAUAUAUUGAACCGCAUGGUUCAAUAGUGAAAGACGGUUUUGCUGUCACUUAUCGAUGGAUCCGCGCCGCAUUAGCUAGUUGGUAAGGUAACGGCUUACCAAGGCAACGAUGCGUAGCCGACCUGAGAGGGGGGUAGGCCGCACUGGAAGGGAGACAGGGUACAGGCGAAUGAGGGAGGGAGCAGAAGGGAAACGGGCGGAAUGGGCGGAAGACUGAAGGAACGAGGCGGCGGUGGUGAUGAAGGUCUUCGGAUCGGAAAAAUCGGUUUUGGGGGGGGAACAAAUGUGUAAGUGACAAUAAACGGAUUGAAGGUAACUAGUAAGAAAGCCACGGCUAACUACGUG
rnacentral:rRNA from 1 species